UUUAGAGAGGUUUUGACAUCAUAAACAAGACCUCUUUGCCUAUUUGUCCACGUGCCUAUAAAAUGUAAUGGACUUUAUCAUUUUCAUAAUAUGCUAAAUAAGCCAGUAGUAUAUGUGUGGGUGUGUGUGUGUUCAUGGUGUCUAAUGGGUCUAAUGGGAUGAAACGAUCUUUCACCUGUCCACCUUACAUGACCUCCAACACUAAUUUUCUACGAUUUAAUCAGAGUUGUGUCAAUGAGAUGCUGUUUAUGCAAAUGACUUGAUGGGUAAAAAGUAAUGGAGACUGAUAUGGGUUUUCAUAUUUCAUGUAUGCAUGAUGGAAUUUAAAAAGAUAUC